GGGAGUACUAUGGGGGAUGACACUUUUGUUCCCUUGCCUUUACCUUGGCCUGAACUUCCAGGCCCAAACCAUUAGCCUUUCUCUUCUGCUCCCAAGGUUGCUCUGUGUUGCCUUGCAGCUCUGCAAAUCCUACAAAGCAUGUCCCCAGGCCUUCUCUCGGGAACUGGAGGAACUCAGGCAGAGGCUCGCCUGGAUGAGAUGAGCUCCCUGGCGGCGGGCCGGACUGCGGGUAGGGGCGGGCACCCAGCCGCCUCUGCGCAAGCCUCCUCCACCCACGUGAGGGGUCGGGGCGCGGGCGCCUGGAGCCGUGGAGCGCGGCCGCAGUGCGGUGGGCCCUGGCUAGAAAGGGGCGGAAAGCGACACCGAGAAUCCAUUCCAAACGAGCAGCCAAGAGGAGACGCGGCAGCUCCCAGAUGUUGAUGUUUUGUUUUUUGACAUAAAUCUUUGCACUCAU